CCUACGGGAGGCAGCAGUGGGGAAUAUUGCACAAUGGGGGAAACCCUGAUGCAGCGACGCCGCGUGAGCGAGGAAGUACUUCGGUAUGUAAAGCUCUAUCAGCAGGGACGAAAAAAGACGGUACUUGACUAAGAAGCCCCGGCUACCUAGGUACCAGCAGCCGCGGGAAUACGAAGGGGGCAAGCGUUAUCGGGAUUUACUGGGUGUAAAGGGUGCGUAGACGGCAAGGCAAGCCAGAAGUGAAAGGGCAGGGCUAAACCCUGUACAUGCUUUUGGAACUGUGGUGCUAGAGUGCAGGAGAGGUAAGUGGAAUUCCUAGUGUAGCGGUGAAAUGCGUAGAUAUUAGGAGGAACACCAGUGGCGAAGGCGGCUUACUGGACUGUAACUGACGUUGAGGCUCGAAAGCGUGGGGAGCAAACAGGAUUAGAUACCCUGGUAGUC
rnacentral:rRNA from 1 species